GACGAACGCUGGCGGCGUGCUUAACACAUGCAAGUCGAACGGAAAGGCCCUUCGGGGUACUCGAGUGGCGAACGGGUGAGUAACACGUGGGUGAUCUGCCCUGCACUUUGGGAUAAGCCUGGGAAACUGGGUCUAAUACCGAAUAGGACCACGCGCUUCAUGGUGUGUGGUGGAAAGCUUUUGCGGUGUGGGAUGGGCCCGCGGCCUAUCAGCUUGUUGGUGGGGUAAUGGCCUACCAAGGCGACGACGGGUAGCCGGCCUGAGAGGGUGACCGGCCACACUGGGACUGAGAUACGGCCCAGACUCCUACGGGAGGCAGCAGUGGGGAAUAUUGCACAAUGGGCGCAAGCCUGAUGCAGCGACGCCGCGUGAGGGAUGACGGCCUUCGGGUUGUAAACCUCUUUCAAUAGGGACGAAGCGCAAGUGACGGUACCUAUAGAAGAAGCACCGGCCAACUACGUGCCAGCAGCCGCGGUAAUACGUAGGGUGCGAGCGUUGUCCGGAAUCACUGGGCGUAAAGAGCUCGUAGGUGGUUUGUCGCGUUGUUCGUGAAAACUCACAGCUUAACUGUGGGCGUGCGGGCGAUACGGGCAGACUAGAGUACUGCAGGGGAGACUGGAAUUCCUGGUGUAGCGGUGGAAUGCGCAGAUAUCAGGAGGAACACCGGUGGCGAAGGCGGGUCUCUGGGCAGUAACUGACGCUGAGGAGCGAAAGCGUGGGGAGCGAACAGGAUUAGAUACCCUGGUAGUCCACGCCGUAAACGGUGGGUACUAGGUGUGGGUUCCUUCCUUGGGAUCCGUGCCGUAGCUAACGCAUUAAGUACCCCGCCUGGGGAGUACGGCCGCAAGGCUAAAACUCAAAGGAAUUGACGGGGGCCCGCACAAGCGGCGGAGCAUGUGGAUUAAUUCGAUGCAACGCGAAGAACCUUACCUGGGUUUGACAUGCACAGGACGCCGGCAGAGAUGUCGGUUCCCUUGUGGCCUGUGUGCAGGUGGUGCAUGGCUGUCGUCAGCUCGUGUCGUGAGAUGUUGGGUUAAGUCCCGCAACGAGCGCAACCCUUGUCCUAUGUUGCCAGCGGGUUAUGCCGGGGACUCGUAGGAGACUGCCGGGGUCAACUCGGAGGAAGGUGGGGAUGACGUCAAGUCAUCAUGCCCCUUAUGUCCAGGGCUUCACACAUGCUACAAUGGCCGGUACAAAGGGCUGCGAUGCCGUGAGGUGGAGCGAAUCCUUUCAAAGCCGGUCUCAGUUCGGAUCGGGGUCUGCAACUCGACCCCGUGAAGUCGGAGUCGCUAGUAAUCGCAGAUCAGCAACGCUGCGGUGAAUACGUUCCCGGGCCU
rnacentral:rRNA from 1 species